AGGGUGUGUGUGUGUGU
rnacentral:miRNA from 2 species